AGUAACGGCGAGUGAAGCGGCAAAAGCUCAGAUUUGAAAUCUGGUGUCCUAUGGGCAUCUGAGUUGUAAUCUGUAGAGAGGUACUUUUGGUCAGUCAUUGGUCCAAGUCCCUUGGAAGAGGGCGUCAUAGAGGGUGAGAGUCCCGUUUAUGGCCUUUGGUCUGUACCUGUAUAAGUCUUCUUCAACGAGUCGAGUUGUUUGGGAAUGCAGCUCUAAAUGGGUGGUAAAUUCCAUCUAAAGCUAAAUACUGGCAAGAGACCGAUAGCGCACAAGUAGAGUAAUCGAAAGAUGAAAAGAACUCUGGACAGAGAGUUAAAUAGUACGUGAAAUUGUUGAAAGGGAAGCACUUGCUACCAGACGCAUUUUUAGCUGAUCAGCCUUCAGUUUCUGUUGGUGCACUCAGUUGAGGAUGGGUCAGCAUCAGUUUUUUCAGUGGGAAAAAGGUGAAGGGAAUGUAGCUCCAUUUUUUGGAGUAUUAUAGACCUUUGCUAGUACUGCUUGAGAGGAUUGAGGACCGCACUUUUGUGAGGAUGCUGGCAUAAUGGUCGUAAGUGACCCGUCUUGAAACACGGACCAAGGAGUCUAACAUCUAUGCGAGUAUUUGGGUGAAAAAACCCUUAUGCGUAAUGAAAGUGAAUGCAGGUGGGAACCGUAAGGUGCACCAUCGACCGAUCCUGAUGUUUUCGGAAGGAUUUGAGUAGGAGCAUAGCUGUUGGGACCCGAAAGAUGGUGAACUAUGCCUGAAUAGGGUGAAGCCAGAGGAAACUCUGGUGGAGGCUCGCAGCGGUUCUGACGUGCAAAUCGAUCGUCAAAUUUGGGUAUAGGGGCGAAAGACUAAUCGAACCAUCUAGUAGCUGGUUCCGGCCGAAGUUUCCCUCAGGAUAGCAGUAACGGGUUAUAAUAGUUUUAUGAGGUAAAGCGAAUGAUUAGAGGCCUUGGGGUUGUAACAACCUUAACCUAUUCUCAAACUUUAAAUAUGUAAGA
rnacentral:rRNA from 1 species